GGAGCUUGCUCCACCGAAAGAAAAAGAGUGGCGAACGGGUGAGUAACACGUGAGGUAACCUGCCCAUCAGAAGGGGAUAACACUUGGAAACAGGUGCUAAUACCGUAUAACACUAUUUUCCGCAUGGAAGAAAGUUGAAAGGCGCUUUUGCGUCACUGAUGGAUGGACCCGCGGUGCAUUAGCUAGUUGGUGAGGUAACGGCUCACCAAGGCAACGAUGCAUAGCCGACCUGAGAGGGUGAUCGGCCACACUGGGACUGAGACACGGCCCAGACUCCUACGGGAGGCAGCAGUAGGGAAUCUUCGGCAAUGGACGAAAGUCUGACCGAGCAACGCCGCGUGAGUGAAGAAGGUUUUCGGAUCGUAAAACUCUGUUGUUAGAGAAGAACAAGGAUGAGAGUAGAACGUUCAUCCCUUGACGGUAUCUAACCAGAAAGCCACGGCUAACUACGUGCCAGCAGCCGCGGUAAUACGUAGGUGGCAAGCGUUGUCCGGAUUUAUUGGGCGUAAAGCGAGCGCAGGCGGUUUCUUAAGUCUGAUGUGAAAGCCCCCGGCUCAACCGGGGAGGGUCAUUGGAAACUGGGAGACUUGAGUGCAGAAGAGGAGAGUGGAAUUCCAUGUGUAGCGGUGAAAUGCGUAGAUAUAUGGAGGAACACCAGUGGCGAAGGCGGCUCUCUGGUCUGUAACUGACGCUGAGGCUCGAAAGCGUGGGGAGCGAACAGGAUUAGAUACCCUGGUAGUCCACGCCGUAAACGAUGAGUGCUAAGUGUUGGGAGGGUUUCCGCCCCUUCAGUGCUGCAGCAAACGCAUUAAGCACUCCCCCUGGGGGAGUACGACCCGCAGGGUUGAAACUCAAAAGGAAUUGGCGGGGGGCCCGCACCAAGCGGGGGGAGCAUGGUGG
rnacentral:rRNA from 1 species